GUCCUUAGUUACCAGGCACGUUAUGGUGGGCGACUCUAAGGAGGAACUGCCGGUGGACAAACCGGAGGAAGGUGGGGAUGACGUCAAGUCAUCAUGGCCCUUACGGCCUGGGCUACACACGUGCUACGAAUGGUCGGUACAAAGGGUUGCCAAGCCGCGAGGUGGAGCUAAUCCCAUAAAACCGAUCGUAGUCCGGAUCGCAGUCUGCAACUCGACUGCGUGAAGUCGGAAUCGCUAGUAAUCGUGAAUCAGAAUGUCACGGUGAAUACGUUCCCGGGCCCUU
rnacentral:rRNA from 1 species